rnacentral:rRNA from 1 species
AGCGAACGCUGGCGGCAGGCUUAACACAUGCAAGUCGAGCGGGCAUCCUUGUGGUGUCCGCGGCAGACGGGUGAGUCACGCGUGGGAACGUGCCCUUCGUUUCGGAAUAACUCCGGGCAACUUGAGCUAAUACCGGAUACGUUCGAUAUCAGAACGGUUUAUCUGCCGAAGGAUCGGCCCGCGUCUGAUUCGCUAGUUGGUGAGGUUACGGCUCACCAAGGCGCCGCUCAGUAGCUGGGCUGGGAGUAUGAUCAGCCACACUGGCACUGAGACACGGCCCAGACUCCGACGGGAGGCAGCAGGGGGGAAUAUUGGACAAGGGGGGCAACCCUGAUCCAGCCAGGCCGCGUGAGUGAUGACGGCCUUAGGGUUGUAAAGCUCUUUUCUCCGGGACGAUAAUGACGGUACCGGAGGAAUAAGCCCCGGCUAACUUCGUG